AAAGGCGAACCCCACCAAUAUUUAACUAUACUUCUCAACUCCGCAAGCUGAAGAGAACUUUUGGCCAUCAGAAGAAAACCUUAAAAGGUUUAGCUCAGACUGAAGAUCCUACAGAAGAUGACUGGUAUGAGAUGAGAAAAAAAUUUAAAUGGCAAAGCAGAGUCAUAGAGGGGUUAUCUUCAAGGGUGAUGAAGCUGAAAGAUCAACUUUGAGAUUUUGAAAAAAGAGUUAAUAAGUAUUCGAUGGGCAUUGAUCUAGAGAAGAUGGAAACUGCACUAGCUAUCAAAGAGAACAAUGAUUUCACAACAGAAUGGUUUACACCAGAAGAUGAGAAAGGAGUUCAUUUAGAGGAAAAAAGCUUAGAGAGUAAGUUGUUGAGUGAGGAGGAAAUCCCUAUUCUUACUUAUUCUCCAGAAGUGCAUAAACAACCAACCAACCCCUCUACUGAAGAAGAACACUUGAUUUUUGACUCUGUUGCUAAAGAACUCUUGGAGUUCUGGACUGGAUACAAAGCUCAGGAAAAUACCAUUGGAAAGUUAACUCAUAAGAUGGAAGAGUUAAACAACACCAUUCUGGAACUUCAAGAAAUGGUUAAAGGUAACCCAAGUUUUGAAAUUGAGGAUUGGUCAAAAGAGCCUGGUUGAGAAGAAGAUGACUACUAUACUGAUCAGAAAGAAGCUUAUUUUGAAGAGAAAUCAAAUGAGCACUCAUCCUACCAUAUGUCAAGGCACUGAAAAUUCAACCACUAAAGAUGAGGACUUCUCAUCUCCUCUCUUCAACCUUUUUGUGACUAAGCUCUGUAAGAGUCAAGCUUAGUGACUUAAAACAAGCUCACUUGGGAGGAAGUCUCAUGUCUAUCCGUAUAUAUAACUUUCUACUUUCCUUGUUAUUUUUGAUGUUUUUGUUUAAGUGUUUCAGGUUUAUUUCAUU
rnacentral:sRNA from 1 species